UCCGCCUUCCGGGGCUCGGGUCCGCCCUUGGCCCGCCUGCAUCCCUGGCGCCCAUUUCCCCGGAGUUCUGGACCCCUGACCUUUCCGGCGGCUACACCCUAGAAAACUUCCAGAAUAUGGAAGACAGUUAUCAUGAAGGAGGUGAGGUUAUUAGCGAGAAGAGGGUCAGGAGAAGAAGAAAUGGAGAAGGCAAUGGUGCGCAUGAUCAAACAUCCGUGUUCCUCUCAUUCUCUACAAUCAAUGUUCAUGGAUUAAAGAAGAAAGUCCCAUGACUUUGACUUGCCAGUGAGUGGGGUCACUUUUUCUCCAGAACUCUAGGCCGAGGCUAAGGUCUGGCAAGAGAGCCAAGGAAAACAUCUGUGCUCCAGAUUUGCCUCUGAAUGUGUGAACUCCAUACAACCCAGUCCCUGCUGGCUGAUCUCCCAGGAUCUGAGUGGGAAGAGAGCCCAGAGAAGAUGGACCUCGUCUCAGGUUACAAAAUAGGAUUAGCAUCUUUUCACAGCAGAAAAUCCCCAAAUGAUAGUGGUUACAACAAGAUAUUUUUUUUCUCUGUCGUAUGAAAUCCAGAGGCAGGCCAUGGAGGUCAGACUCUGAAAACGGCUCAGGCUGUUUCUGUUCUGUUACCGGUAGUGUGUUCUGUUAGCCCCCAGGUCCAGGGUCUACUGUAGCUGCUGAGGCACUGACCCAUCUCAUCAGCAGCUCCACAAUCAGAGCAGAAGAAAGGAGCCACUAACACCUUCCUUUUAAAGAUUCAGUUUCCCAAAUCUCUUUACAGUUUUUACUUAUGAAGUCAUGUGACCACACUGAACUGCAAAGGUGCCUGAAAAGUGUUUUGUAGUUGGAAAACAAGGCUCCCAGGUAAAAAAGGAAGGUCCUGUUACUAAAGGAGUGGAUAAUGGGGACCCAGCUCAGUGAUAGAGUACUUGCUUAGCACAGGCAUGGCCCUGGGUCCCAUCCCCAGCAAUCCAGAAAACUGAGCAAGAGGAUGCUACACAGUGGAAGGCCAUGGGCCCCUCCUGUCCCACCAAAUGGCCUGGUGCAUUGAGGAAGGUAGGAAGAAAGUAUGGCAGCAGAAAACCAGACACUGAUGUCCAUGUGGCUUCUCAUUAUAUGUCUUUGAGACUCCCUAUGACUAAGAAGAAGAAAUAAGAGGGCAAGCCAGGAAGAGGGCAUUGGUGUGAACAGCUCCUCCAGGAAGUGGGGAGGGGGCACACUCCUGAGCCCUUUGUGAGCCUCUCCUGUCAUGGUGGGGAGGUUCUUAUCCUGUCUGUGCCCACUGUGAAAAGAGCCCGGGUUGAUCAGUUGUUCUCAAAGUAAUAGUCAACCAGCCCUUCAAAUGGCAGUCUGCCCUCUGCCUCUCCAUGUUUAGAGGAGCCUGGUUCCUCCAACCCCUGAGCCUUUGGGGGAGCUCAGCAAGUCUGUCUCAGUGACUCACUGGAACAUUCGGGUCUCAGGCCCUAGACUCCUUGUCACCUCCAUCCAUUAUUGGUUCUAUAGCAGCCACAUUUUAGUUGAUUCUUCCUGUCUGCUGUUUAUCACCUCACAGGGUGUCAUUGUCCCAGUUAGCGUCCGUGUGGCCCUGUGUAUGUGUGUAUGUCUUUGUGUGUGUCCGUGUGUGUGUGUGUCCAUGUACUUGUCAUUCUCUCGGAAUCCUAGAGAAUGGUGACAUUAGGUAAGUGAUAGCCGUCAACCACAGCUAGCCUGUAACCUCUGGCUUAUGCUCUUGCCUGGGGAAACCUCCAGGCUUGAGAACAUUCUGUGGUGUUCCCAGCCUGGCUGCCCCUUCCUCACUCAUCUCUAGAUGCCCUGGGUGCUUCAGAAUUGUGUUUCUCUCUGCACCCGGGCAUAGCUGCCUCUCAGCUCUGGCUGUACCUCUGCUAAGGGGCAGGACCUAACUACUCUUCUUUGAACCUGAAAGGGCUUGGGUAGGCCCUAAGCUGUUGGAUAUGAGUUCCUGGCCUAGCUCACUCCUUAGACGUCAGUUUAAUCUUUGGUGAAUUAAAACUCAAAGGUGGGGCUGAGAAUGCUAUUUCUGAACUGGAGUGCUAGAGUUGAUCUCCAUCCAGAGGUAUGUUCCCACUGGAGUAUGGAAAAAAUCCAGUGUCAGUCACCUGGGGGAGCCUGCAAGAGUUCUGUCUGUGAGUUCUUAAGAGCCAGGACUGAUGGUAAUCACGGCACAUGGGAGACUAAGGCAGGGGAAUCAUGAGUUUGGGGAAAUCCUAAACUGCAUAGUGAGAGUCUGUCUUGACGCGCAUACUGGCAGGCUGUGGUACAGACAGCAUGUACCUUCCAUGAUUCAUGGAAUUCAUGAUUCACGGAAGGAAGCAAUGACCUUCCGUGAUUCUUAUGGGAAAGAGACCAAGACCUAGAUGGAUAGCCUUCCCAGACUGGGGAGUUUCCUGAGGUGCAGGGCUUUCAGUGCUGAAACCAAAAUGGUGGUAUGGAAAACCAGAACUGCGAAUGUCCAUCAGAACGCUCUUAGGCAUCAUCGUGGGGGUGCCCAUGCGACUUAAAAGCUUAGGGAGAUGACUUAGUUGAUGAAGUGCCUUCUGUAUAAUCAUGAAGACUUGAGUUCUAUUCCCAGAACACACAUAAAAUUGUGCCUGCCAUACUAGUACUUGGGGAGCAAAGGUAGGAGGAUCCCUGGCAAAUCUUUGUCCGCCAACUACCUGGUCUGGCCAAGUUGAUGAACUUCAGGUUCCUGGAGAGACUGUCCCAAAAACUAAGAUGGAGAGCUACUGGACAAGAUAUCCAACGUAUACCUCUGUCUUCCACGUGCACACACACAUAUUCCCUUCCUUACACAUGCAUACAUAAGCACACACUGAGAUACACACAAGCACAGAAGCAUAUACAAGCACAAAUACAUAAGCGUACACAGACAUACACAUAUACAAGCACACACUCAGACAUACACACAUACAUACACACACACACAGGCGCACGCACGCACACAUAUAGUGCUUACUCUCUGCUGUCACAUACAUCUCCCCACCCCAUGUCACCUAGCAUUUUUUUUUUCCAAGACAAGGUUUCUCUGUAGCUUUGGUGCCUGUCCUGGAACUAGCUCUUGUAGACCAGGCUGGCCUUGAACUCACAGAGAUCUGCUUGCCUCUGCCUCCCAAGUGCUGAGAUUAAAGGCGUGCACCACCACCCGCCCAGCAUCACCUAGCACAUUUUUAUGACAAAUGCUGGAGACAUCCAGAGUGGGCUCUGGGACCAGGGUGCCAGCUCCAGCCUUCAGCUCUAAUUGUCUGAGUCUCUUCAGCCACGUCUGCCCUACUUUCCUCAUCUAUGAAGUAAGAAGAUGAUCCAAGUUCCACCUCAGCAGGUGGUGGAGGCUUAAGUGACUUAGUGGAUGCAAGUCCCUUGAAAUGCUGUCCAUCAUCCAGCCAGAGAGGCCACACCCUGUACCUAUGGAAAGACGAAGAAAAGCGUCAGCAUUUUCUAGCAGGCCUGGGAGAUAGGAGCUUGGGAUGGUGAACACAGCCUCCUGGGUUCCAAAGUCUGAUUAUCUAAUUAAUCUGGACCUUGAGCCAUUUCAACCUAAUUCCCUGUAGACACAUUGACGCCUUUAGGAGAUUGUCUCGUUCUCACUUAUCACUAUAACUACUUGGAAUGUGUAAGUGAGCUACGGCUAAUCUGUUCUUGUUGAUCAAAGCAAUAAAUAAACAACCAUGGCAGGC